rnacentral:rRNA from 1 species
GACGAACGCUGGCGGCGUGCUUAACACAUGCAAGUCGAACGGUGAUGCUCCAGCUUGCUGGAGUGGAUCAGUGGCGAACGGGUGAGUAACACGUGAGCAACCUGCCCCAGACUCUGGAAUAAGCGCUGGAAACGGCGGCUAAUACUGGAUACGAAACUGGCCCGCAUGGGCAUGGUUUGUAAAGUUGUUCGGUUUGGGAUGGGCUCGCGGCCUAUCAGCUUGUUGGUGAGGUAAUGGCUCACCAAGGCGACGACGGGUAGCCGGCCUGAGAGGGCGACCGGCCACACGGGGACUGAGAGACGGCCCAGACUCCUACGGGAGGCAGCAGUGGGGAAUAUUGCACAAUGGGGGAAAGCCUGAUGCAGCGACGCCGCGUGAGGGAUGACGGCCUUCGGGUUGUAAACCUAUUUCAGCAGAGAAGAAGCGAAAGUGACGGUACCUGCAGAAGAAGCACCGGCUAACUACGUG